rnacentral:rRNA from 1 species
AGUGAACGCUGGCGGUAGGCCUAACACAUGCAAGUCGAACGGCAGCACAGGAGAGCUUGCUCUCUGGGUGGCGAGUGGCGGACGGGUGAGGAAUACAUCGGAAUCUACUCUGUCGUGGGGGAUAACGUAGGGAAACUUACGCUAAUACCGCAUACGACCUACGGGUGAAAGCAGGGGACCUUCGGGCCUUGCGCGUUUGAAUGAGCCGAUGUCGGAUUAGCUAGUUGGCGGGGUAAAGGCCCACCAAGGCGACGAUCCGUAGCUGAUCUUAGAGGAAGAUCAGACACACUGGAACUGAUACACGGUCCAGACUCCUACGGGAGGCAGCAGUGGGGAAUAUUGGACAAUGGGCGCAAGCCUGAUCCAGCCAUACCGCGUGGGUGAAGAAGGCCUUCGGGUUGUAAAGCCCUUUUGUUGGGAAAGAAAUCCAGCUGGCUAAUACCCGGUUGGGAUGACGGUACCCAAAGAAUAAGCACCGGCUAACUUCGUGCCAGCCGCCGCCGUAA